UUACCCCUUCUUCUUUAACCCUUACACUUUAACCUUUCUUCUUAACCUAUACAAGACUCAAAGAGAGACACGACCAAGUCCGGAUCGCCGGCCCACCCCUUCAAAAAUUCCAUGACCUCUUUCUCUAAACUUACCCACACCUAAUCUGUCGCCCACCCCAUGGGAGAACCUUGAGAUUUUUCAUUCACUCACAUAUAAGCGCACAUACACGCACAGUAAGGGAAAUCAGAGGAAAGGGAUUUGUGGGUUUUGUUUGUUUUGAUUUCCAACUUUUCCAUUUUCGGAUUUUUUGAGUUCUUCGCUGAAAAUUAGGUGAGCUUCUUCACUUUCUUUUUCUUUAUUUCAAAGAUAAAAAAAAUAGAAAAAUACAAACAAACAAAGAAAUACAUUGCUGCCCUUUCUUCUAUUUUUGAUUUAGUUUUCAAAGACGGAGUUUGAUUGAGAUCGAGGUCUUUUCGAUCCCGUGUUCUGUUCGUAGCUCAAGGAUUUGGGAGGUAACAUUUCAGAUUUCAUUUGGCAAAAUAUAUUUGAGUUCCAAGUCGAGGUCACCGGUUAGUUUCUGCCAUUAAUUUAAUCAAAACAGAAGUGAAAUCUUGGCUUUACUUUGAGGUUCCAUCUUUUGCUACUUUUCUAUUCCCUUUCUGGUAAUGUUGUUUGUUUACCUCUUAUGUUUUCCUGCCUAGUACGAGAACUUUUUAUAUUUACCAUGAUAGAUGUGCAUAAUUACUUGUCCUUUGAUUGUUAAUUUGGUAUAUUGAAGUAGCAAAGUCAGUUGUUGGGAUUGACUAAAGAAAGUUAUUUGACGGAGUUGAUUUAAGAAAACUUGUGUGAUUGGUGUUGAGUCCGUUACAAAUUAGGUGAGAAACAAAUGGGUUAUGGGAGUUGGCUUUAAUAAAGUGAAGGAAAUUGGCCUUAAAUGAUCUUGAUGCUUUUAUUCUACUCAUUUAUUAAUUAAACGCUAGUAGCAUGUUUUAGGCCGAUCACAUUCGGGUAGGCAAACUUUAGGCUUUCUUCCUUUCAUUUGAGGUAAGAGGUCAUCCAUUAGUUCAUUUAUUCGGGGAAUGCCCCGAAGGAUUUGUAUAUAGUUUAUUCCGGGGAAUGCCCCGAAGAACUUUGUAAAUAUUUAGUAUUUAUGAUUUUGCUUU
rnacentral:lncRNA from 1 species